GACGAACGCUGGCGGCGUGCCUAAUACAUGCAAGUAGAACGCUGAAGCGAGGAGCUUGCUCUUCUUGGAUGAGUUGCGAACGGGUGAGUAACGCGUAGGUAACCUGCCUUGUAGCGGGGGAUAACUAUUGGAAACGAUAGCUAAUACCGCAUAACAAUGGAUGACACAUGUCAUUUAUUUGAAAGGGGCAAUUGCUCCACUACAAGAUAGACCUGCGUUGUAUUAGCUAGUAGGUGAGGUACUUGCUCACCUAGGCGACGAUACAUAGCCGACCUGGGAGGGUGCUCGGCCACACUGGGACGGGAACACGGCCCAGACUCCUACGGGAAGCAGCAGGAGGGAAUCUUCGGCAAUGGGGGCAAACCUGACCGAGCAACGCCGCGGGAGUGAAGAAGGUUGUCGGAUCGUAAAGCUCUGUUGUAAGUCAAGAACGGGUGUGAGAGUGGAAAGUUCACACUGUGACGGUAGCUUACCAGAAAGGGACGGCUAACUACGUG
rnacentral:rRNA from 1 species